GGAAGGUUGGCAGAGCGGCUUAAUGUAGCGGGUUGCUAACUCGUCGGGCGGCAACGUCCCGUAGGUUCAAAUCCUACACCUUCCGCCA
rnacentral:tRNA from 1 species